rnacentral:tRNA from 1 species
CAAAAUGUAGCUUAACUAAAGCAUUUCGCUUACACCGAACACAUAUCCGUGCGACUCUGAUCAUUUUGA